rnacentral:rRNA from 1 species
UAACACCAGCCCCUCGAGUGGUGGGGAUGAUUAUUUGGCCUAAAGUGUCCGUAGCCUGCUUUGUAAGUCUCCCGUUAAAUCCAGCGUCUCAAGCGUUGGUCUGCGAGAGAUACUGCUCAGCUAGAGGGUGGGAGAGGUCAGCGGUAUUCUGGGGGUAGGGGCGAAAUCCUUUGAUCCCCGGAGGACCACCAGUGGCGAAGGCUGCUGUCUAGAACACGCCUGACGGUCAGGGACGAAAGCUGGGGUAGCGAACCGGAUUAGAUACCCGGGUAGUCCCAGCCGUAAACGAUGCAUGCUAGGUGUUGGGUUGGCCACGUGCCACCCCAGUGCCGCAGGGAAGCCGGUAAGCAUGCCGCCUGGGGAGUACGGCCGCAAGGCUG